CAACAGGUGUCUGUUCAACAGUAACAGUUGCUGUCUAGAAAUGUUAAACUGCUUAUUCGAGAAUUGACGUCUAUCUAGGAGACUAGGUCAUGAAGGAACAAUCUUGAUGGCUGAGCUCUAACGUUAUCUGAACACACAUGGGUCAAUGACCGCUCACUUUGAAUAUAUUACAACCAGCAAGCAGCAGUUAUCUUGAGCAUUUGCUACUACAUUAUGGUUCUUUAAAAAAAAUGACUUACCAUGACUUUAUUUUGUACGCUAUUUCAGUCCGUGUGGUUGUUUUGCUCACGUAACGCAGCUUAACAUUUGAUGUUGUGCCAUGCGGUCAGUCUAAUUCCCUUUACUGGCUUUAGGCUAGUUAUGGCAUCUCCAGGGUAUUUUGGUGAUGGUCCUCCGAUGCGCGAGCGUGACCCGUACUUCACUGAGGUCAUCAGACAGAGGAUGCAAGUGCCCGAGCGGCUGAGGGUCGGUCCAGCGCCACAUGAGCCUGCAGAGCAAAGACAUGAAGAGCUACCUGCUGCCUACAGCAUGCACAUCCCAGACAGACUGGCCUUAACAGCCGCAGUAUUGGACGCCCACCUGUCGUGCAUACAGACCUGUCCCCACCAAAGCCCCCAGGACUCCCCUCCAUCCCACCCAACCUGCUGUCCCCACAGAGCAUGCUGCAGGCCGCCAAGGAGCUGGGCCAGCAGGCGUCUCAGAAACUCCUCCAGACAGUCACCAAAAAAUACUCCUCCAGGUGACACGGACCCUCAUCCUUCACACCCUGCCUGUCCCCUUCCUGCGGUUGUGGGCUCUAACUAA
rnacentral:lncRNA from 1 species